GAUGAACGCUGGCGGCGUGCCUAAUACAUGCAAGUCGAACGCAUUGUGGUUGAAAUGAUAUGAAGAACUUGUUCAGAUUUGAUUUUCAACAUUGCAAUGAGUGGCGAACGGGUGAGUAACACGUGGGAAACCUACCUCUUAGCAGGGGAUAACAUUUGGAAACAAAUGCUAAUACCGUAUAAUAAUUAAAACCGCAUGGUUUUAGUUUAAAAGAUGGUCUUGCUAUCACUAAGAGAUGGUCCCGCGGUGUAUUAGUUAGUUGGUGAGGUAAUGGCUCACCAAGACAAUGAUACAUAGCCGAGUUGAGAGACUGACGGCCACAAUGGGACUGAGACACGGCCCAUACUCCUACGGGAGGCAGCAGUAGGGAAUCUUCCACAAUGGACGAAAGUCUGAUGGAGCAACGCCGCGUGUGUGAUGAAGGUUUCGGCUCGUAAAACACUGUUGUAA
rnacentral:rRNA from 1 species